GUGGGGAAUAUUGGACAAUGGGCGCAAGCCUGAUCCAGCCAUGCCGCGUGUGUGAAGAAGGCCUUCGGGUUCUAAAGCCCUUUUGUACGGGAAGAAAUCAUUAGGGUUAAUACCCUGGGUGGAUGACGGUACCGUAAGAAUAAGCACCGGCUAACUUCGUGCCAGCAGCCGCGGUAAUACGAAGGGUGCAAGCGUUAAUCGGAAUUACUGGGCGUAAAGCGUGCGCAGGCGGUUUUGUAAGACAGGCGUGAAAUCCCCGGGCUCAACCUGGGAAUUGCGCUUGUGACUGCAAGGCUGGAGUGCGGCAGAGGGGGAUGGAAUUCCGCGUGUAGCAGUGAAAUGCGUAGAUAUGCGGAGGAACACCGAUGGCGAAGGCAAUCCCCUGGGCCUGCACUGACGCUCAUGCACGAAAGCGUGGGGAGCAAACAGGAUUAGAAACCCUGGUAGUCC
rnacentral:rRNA from 1 species